rnacentral:rRNA from 1 species
AGGACGAACGCUGGCGGCGUGCUUAACACAUGCAAGUCGAACGCUGAAGCUUGGUGCUUGCACUGGGUGGAUGAGUGGCGAACGGGUGAGUAAUACGUGAGUAACCUGCCCUUGACUCUGGGAUAAGCCUGGGAAACUGGGUCUAAUACUGGAUAUGACCUCCUGUCGCAUGGUGGGGGGUGGAAAGGGUUUGUACUGGUUGUGGAUGGGCUCACGGCCUAUCAGCUUGUUGGUGGGGUAAUGGCCUACCAAGGCGACGACGGGUAGCCGGCCUGAGAGGGUGACCGGCCACACUGGGACUGAGACACGGCCCAGACUCCUACGGGAGGCAGCAGUGGGGAAUAUUGCACAAUGGGCGCAAGCCUGAUGCAGCGACGCCGCGUGAGGGAUGACGGCCUUCGGGUUGUAAACCUCUUUCAGCACGGAAGAAGCGAAAGUGACGGUACGUGCAGAAGAAGCGCCGGCUAACUACGUGCCAGCAGCCGCGGUAAUACGUAGGGCGCAAGCGUUGUCCGGAAUUAUUGGGCGUAAAGAGCUCGUAGGCGGUUUGUCGCGUCUGCUGUGAAAGCCCGGGGCUUAACCCCGGGUGUGCAGUGGGUACGGGCAGACUUGAGUGCAGUAGGGGAGACUGGAACUCCUGGUGUAGCGGUGAAAUGCGCAGAUAUCAGGAAGAACACCGAUGGCGAAGGCAGGUCUCUGGGCUGUUACUGACGCUGAGGAGCGAAAGCAUGGGGAGCGAACAGGAUUAGAUACCCUGGUAGUCCAUGCCGUAAACGUUGGGCACU